rnacentral:rRNA from 1 species
UACGGGGGAUGCAAGCGUUAUCCGGAAUCAUUGGGCGUAAAGCGCCUGUAGGUUGUUUAGUAAGUCUGUUGUUAAAGACCAGGGCUUAACCCUGGGAAAGCAAUGGAAACUACUAGACUUGAGUAUGGCAGGGGUAGAGGGAAUUUCUAGUGUAGCGGUGAAAUGCGUAGAUAUUAGAAAGAACACCGGCGGCGAAAGCGCUCUACUGGACCAUUACUGACACUCAGAGGCGAAAGCUAGGGGAGCAAAAGGGAUUAGAUACCCCUGUAGUCCUAGCCGUAAACGAUGGAUACUAGAUGUUGUGCGUAGUGUACAGUGUCCUAGCUAACGCGUUAAGUAUCCCGCCUGGGGAGUACGCUCGCAAGGGUG